UCUGAACUAGUCAACCUAAUCAUAGACGCGCGAGAGGUGAUAAUAUAAAAGGAAAUAAUGUGUCACUUUAUCAUUAGUGUUGCCAAAAACUGGUGUCAGAAGACUCGGUAAGGCCAGAGACGCAAGCGUUUAUCAUCUUGAUCAGGCGUAAAGGGUUUGUAGGCGGCUUUAAAUAAUUAAAGAAUGAAUCAAAUAGAGGUCAACAUGAGAAACUUAGAAUAGGGUUGAUAUCUGGAUAAACUAAGGAAAAUUCUAAUUAACGAAGGAUCUUUUCUAUCUUAUGAUUGACGCUUAGAAACCAAGGGGAAGAUAGACAAUAGGAUUAGAUACCCUGGCAUUCCUCUCUGUUAACGAUGAAUGGUAGUUGCUAGUU
rnacentral:rRNA from 1 species